CUCGUCCACCAAACACACAGCCGCACGAGAACCCGGCCAUGGCCGCCGCACGAGAGCCCGGCCAUGGCCGCCGCCCCGCGCAACCAUCCGCGCCACCACUGCCGGGAACGAGUGGCUGGUUCCUCCACUUGUUGCUCGAGGACUAUGCAGUCCAGGUAGCGCGACACCAGCACCUGCGUCAGUGGCCUCCUCGUGUGGGGCGUCCCCUCAAUGCCUCGCCUGCGGGGGUCGAGGUUGCCGUCACAUGCGCGAGGAACGCCAUGGAUGUGCACAGGACGAUGGGAUGUGCGCAAAACGUUGUGACUAUGCCAAGAUCGCCUAUUGAUCUAGCUGGUUGGACUCGGUCGGGUGAGCGGGGUGCUUGAGAUUCUCGACCGGAUCUCUGGCGCCAACGAGGAUAGGCUAGGAGCUUCAACGAGAGCAACCACCGGUGUGGAGAAGAAGGUCAUGCCCACGUGGACGCUCUCCGGCAGCCCGCCUUGCUCCUUUCAACAUGUCCUCUGAUUCAUGCCUCGGCACGGACAGGGUGCAAUCUCGGCAGGAUGCAAUACAUGCCGGAUUCGUGCUUUUUUCCGUCCUCAAAUUCAGAAUCGGUCAGCUAUAAAAUUGUUCUUGCUGAACUAAUCGAAUAUGUUAUUGUAUUUCUUCGCUACUUACCCUCGGGACCAAUUGAAUUUUAUACAGUUCUAACUUUUAUCU